GUGUGUGUGUGUGUGUGAGUGUAUUUUUCAAUUUGACUAUCUUUAUGGCAGCAAAUUCUCCUGGUUUGAUGAAUCCCAGCUUGGCUGUGUUUGAGUAACUGAAACUCAUUGUGCUUCUUUUUGUUUGUGAUUCAAACAGGUUAAUAUGGUUUGGUUAGUUCUGCAAGUGUAUUAUUAAUUUAAUAUUGUAGUUCUAUUCUAUAUGGUUGUUGAUCAGC
rnacentral:misc_RNA from 1 species